rnacentral:rRNA from 1 species
AGAGUUUGAUCAUGGCUCAGAACGAACGCUGGCGGCAUGCCUAAUACAUGCAAGUCGAACGAGAAAGUCAGCAAUGAUGAGUAAAGUGGCGCACGGGUGAGUAACACGUAGGUGACCUGUCGAGUAGAGUGGAAUAACAGGGAGAAGUCUCUGCUAAUACCGCAUAAGAUGAAUAAAGUUGAAAUUAAUUCAUGAAAGAUGGCCUCUCUACAAUGCCAUUGCUAUUUGAGGGGCCUGCGGGCCAUUAGCUAGUUGGUGGGGUAAUGGCCUACCAAGGCGAUGAUGGCUAGCCGGUCUGAGAGGACGAUCGGCCACACUGGAACUGAGACACGGUCCAGACUCCUACGGGAGGCAGCAGUAGGGAAUAUUGCGCAAUGGGGGCAACCCUGACGCAGCAAUGCCGCGUGAGUGAAGAAGGCCUUCGGGUUGUAAUACUCUGUCCUUGGGGAAAAAUGAUUUAAUAGUAAAUAGCUAUUGAAAGUGAUGGUACCCAAGAAGAAAGCACCGGCUAACUUCGUGCCAGCAGCCGCGGUAAUACGAAGGGUGCAAGCGUUGUUCGGAUUUAUUGGGCGUAAAGGGUGCGCAGGCGGAUCAGCAAGUCAGGUGUGAAAUCUCGGGGCUUAACCUCGAAAUGGCGCCUGAAACUACUAAUCUUGAAUACUGGAGAGGGAAGGGGAAUUUCUCAUGUAGGGGUAAAAUCCGUAGAUAUGAGAAGGAACACCAGAGGCGAAGGCGCCUUCCUAGACAGAAAUUGACGCUGAGGCACGAAAGCGUGGGGAGCAAACAGGAUUAGAUACCCUGGUAGUCCACGCCGUAAACGAUGAGCACUAGUUGUGGUCGGAAUUAACCCUGACCGUGACGUAGCUAACGCAUUAAGUGCUCCGCCUGGGGAGUACGGUCGCAAGACUAAAACUCAAAGGAAUUGACGGGGGCCCGCACAAGCGGUGGAUCAUGUGGUUUAAUUCGAAGCAACGCGCAAAACCUUACCUGGGUUUGAAAUCCUACGAAUUUUUCAGAGAUGAAGAAGUGCCCUUCGGGGAAUGUAGAGACAGGCGCUGCAUGGCUGUCGUCAGCUCGUGUUGUGAAAUGUUGGGUUAAGUCUCGCAACGAGCGCAACCCCUGUCCUUAGUUGCCAGCAUUAAGUUGGGCACUCUAAGGAGACUGCCAGGGUUAACCUGGAGGAAGGUGGGGAUGACGUCAAGUCCUCAUGGCCCUUAUGUCCAGGGCCACACACGUGAUACAAUGGGUAGUAUAAAGGGAAGCAAACCUGCGAGGGGGAGCCAAUCUCAAAAAGCUACUCUCAGUCCGGAUUGGAGUCUGCAACCCGACUCCAUGAAGUUGGAAUCGCUAGUAAUCGCUGAUCAGCACGCAGCGGUGAAUACGUUCCCGGGCCUUGUACACACCGCCCGUCACACCAUGGGAGUUGAUUCAACCUUAAGACGUGGCCUUAACCUGCAAAGGGAGGGAGCGUCCACGGUGGGGUCGAUGACUGGGGUGAAGUCGUAACAAGGUA